UGGGCUUCAAAUAAUGUGUGACUACCCCCUAA
rnacentral:rRNA from 1 species